CAGACAGGGGGCUUCUGCGCCAGAGCACCCGAAUCGGUAUCGUUUUGGGAAUGAGUUCAGCCUUUAGUAGCUGCCAGUGGAGGCUUGAGAAGCUCAGUAGCAGGAGGGUCGGGGGGAGGCCAGUGUAUGUCUGUGGAGAGACAUGAGGCUGGAGCUUUGGAGAGCCAGGGUCCCUGAAGAGUAGGUAGUUGGAGGUUGAAUUUCAAAUGUUGACUCUUGGGAACACACUUGAUACAUUCACCCAACUGAUCCAAAUCCACUUCACUCCUUCAAGCCCAUCUCUUCCUCAAGUCCUUAGAAUCAAGUGAAGUAAGGAGAAGGAGGUUCCAGGACCAGGAGAGCAUCAUUUCUGGGGAUACCAUUAACUUGAGGUGUGAGAUCUGUGACCAGAAUUUCAGUGACAAUC